GUAUUUCUGCAACCUCACGUAUUAGUCUGAAGCAUACUAUUCUAUUAUGCAGCUUAUGCUCGAAGCCCAAAUAGUAAACAGGAUGCGCUUUGCAUAGAGUCGAUGCUCACAAACAUGGGGCUAAUUAUACAUGGUAAACAUAAAUAAACCAUAGGUCUUACCGAACCAAAUUAGAUAGGAGUCUGCGUGCGUUUAUCUUAGCGGCGUGGCACCCGGGUUGAUAGUCGAGCUGAUUGAAUUGGAGGCGGGGAAAGAUCAGCAAGAAACCAAUGCCACGAAGAGUGCGUGAGGUUCGUAUGCCAAGUUAUCCAACAUUGUUUGCGUGGAAUCAGACUUAUAUGCAACCAUGGAUAGGAAAGAGAUCCUGUAUUAAUUAAUUAGAGUUAAUGCGCAUUAUUACACAAGGAAUUAGUGGGGAAACAAAAAAAUGGAAAGAACAUAGAUAUAGCAGUUGACCCCGGACAGAAUCUCAUCUGUCAUUGAUUUCUUUCAUCCAGCUGGAUUUAUAAUGAUGACAACACGCAUAAAAAUAGAUCCUUGUGAAGCUGUUUUAGAGGCGACGAACACUAAGUGGCUGUGCGAACAUAAUAACAUUGGAACAUCAUUAUAGAGCAUCGAAGUGAAUUUUGCAUCAGACUUGAACCCUCCUCAUUCGUUGAACAUGAACAUGGCUCAUUCGUUGAACAAUCAAGCUGGCCCGGUUCUGCAAGGACCCUAGAGCAUCUCCUAGUGCCGCACGGCAGGCUGCCAGCUCGUAGGACUGCUGGUUGUCUGGUUAGAAGACAAGCUGGCUCAUGUGUGUCGUUUUCAAGAACCCUACAAAAUAGGUUUAAUUAAACAACAUACAAUACAUAUUUUUAUAUAAGAUGGUCGUGUUAGACGUUCUUCGAUUACACAAGCACUCACGUUGUGCUCUGUUGACCUCAAGCAGUAUGGCACCUAAAGUCCAAAGCCCCUGCUUUGCUAGUCCCCACCGCAUCAAGUGGCGUGACACAUGUUGGUCCCAGACGCGUAGGUAGAUAAACUCCCUCCUGGUUGAGCAAUAAAAUGUUAGCCCACUGCCAAUAAAAUGUACUAAACAUUAAGCAGAGUUCUUACCAAGUGUUCAUUAGGACCACAUGUAGGUAUGGCAUGGUACGGUCGUCUGACCUGUGUAACAUUAUUUUGCUGACAUGCAUCACUAUGCCAAGGACAUAUGGGAAAAAAUCAUGUGAAUUUGUUAAGAACUCUGGCUCAACUACAUGUCAGCAAAAUUCAUUGUGAAAUGAUACAAAGCACCUGCAAGCAUCCUGCUUCUGAGGCUGUAGACAUCUAUAAAAUCAAUGAAUCGUGGCGGCAACGAAGGGGUGUUAAUGCUGGCCCUGGCAAGAAGUACUUCAGUGCGCGAGUGGAGGACGAUGUAAAAGUCACAUGGCACCGACAAUGCAACUGGCAGAUGCAUAGCUACUGGUUCAAAACCAACUUUUUUGAAUAAGUAUACUGAGCCGGCACGUAGGUUGUCGCUGAAGCGAUAUGCGAUCGGUUGAAAUGGAUCAAAUGCAAUUGCAUCCAUUUUGACCCCCUGGAAAUUUAUUGCAUACAUUAGCAGUAUUAUCAGCAGAUCACUUGAUAGCAUAUCUUCUUUGAAUACUUAUAGUUUGGUCGAUGAGGAUGGCGUGAAAGAUGGCUGCUCCACUCCAGGUAUGUUUGAUGCGAGCAUACAAAACCUGCUGUUGCGUCCAACCUAUACUGUAUAUAUGUAGGUUUUCUAUUUCGCUGAACCUUACAUGUCUGCAAUUGGUUGACAAAGAGAACAAUUCUGUAUAUUUACUUAUGCAAAUAACUAAAAGCAGGAAUGGAUAAAAUGUUGCCUGGUGAUCGGCGGGGGAGGGCCAAUGGGAGCGGGAACGAAGUUCACAGGCCAGGACGGCCCAUCCUGGGUCCCAUCGCCAUGAGUGCCAAGACCCGAUUUCUCUUCAACAUGACUCAUGGUUCAGAACGCAGAAUGAUUUUUAUAGCAUGGUAUAUGGCAGGAAAUAGAAGUGCUGGAAUUUGUAUUAGCGCCAGUUAAAAGGACGUAUUUUAACUGAUUUGACUAUUUUCAUUUUCAUUGGCACCAAGUAAAACCAUGGUGAUAGAAGAAAGGAAGUGACUGAAAGAAGGAAGGAGAUUGAUCGCCGUUUGAUUGAAAGAAGGAAGGAGAUUGAUCACCGUCAUGAAUGAAUUAAUUGCCAUGCAUGAAUUGAUUGCGUUUGGAUUGAUUGUUGAUUGAUUGCGCUUGGUUGCCUUAUGUGAAUUAUUUCUUUAGCAAAGAUAAAGUCGAUUGGAGGGAGAAAAGAAAAUCGGCUGUGGGAGAAAACCGUUGGAGGGAGGGAAAAAAAUCGCUCGAGGGGAGGGGGGAUCGUACGAAGGGGUUGGACGAAGAGGGGAAACGGAACCUUACGUUUCUUUUAGGUAGUAGAGAUAGGGGAUUCCUCCAUCAAUGCAGUUUUUCGUACAUGGCUUCUGUGCGUUGGUUCUUCAGGUGCAACCAAAUGGUUAUGUGCAACCGGUGACAUUUGAGACUGGCCUGUUCGGCGAGAGGAGAAAGUGUCUAUUGUCAAACUUGUUCUUAACAUGUUACAUUUGGGUUGGAUUAGAUUAGAUAGCUCUAUUGUCUUCUUGGCUCUGUAAUAUAUAGCUGCAAGUAUUUGGAUAUGGAUAAUCUGUAGAUGGUCGUGAUGUUGUGUUUGGUUGAUUUCGUUCGGUUCGAGGAUGUUUGAAGUUAGUAUGGCGUGUGUUUUUGUUAGGAUAGCUGGAAGGUUGCGUUGGGCUGAAAUCCGGGGUAGGGCGUCCCCUUGAUGCGAAUGAUUCUGUGCCACUUGUCAGUUUCAUGAGAUAUGAAAUUGGGGGCAUGAUGCUCCCUUUCUAGAACAAUAAUAAUAUAGCUCUAAUGUGCUAUUUGUAUUUUUUUUGUGUUUGUUUGUUGUGAGCAGCGAUGGAGGAACAGGCCCAUUGGCAAAUUGGAGGCAUGGUAUUCCUUUUCAUUCAUUUGGUCGUUUCGGAUCACCUAUAUUCAACCAAAGCGGUCAUCUUGUUGGGAUAUCUUAUCAAGAUUACGAGGCAUGGUCCGUGAUGUUCCUGCAACAAGCUGUCCUUAGGGAAGCAGAGAUCAGCAGUGCAUUGGGUAGUGUUUCGUAUGUACUGAACGGAAACCCAAUUCCCCGUGAAGUCCCAAUUCUGCCCAAAGGACCAGUCCCGCCCGUCUAGGAGCAGCAGGCUUACAGGAGAUAGCGCCUCAUGCCUUCACCUUAACAGCAGAUGGAAAAUAUCAGAGUACAUCCACAGGCAGCUGCAUACACGGUGGAGUUGACUGUUGUUGCAGCCUAAUGUAGGUUUCAGUUUGGUUGCUAUUAUUAAACUAACCAUCUGACUUGUUAUCGCAGCCUAGUGUGCUUGUUGAUUUAGUUUCUGUCUUUGAACUGCCAUGACUUAUUUGCAGCCUAGCAUAGUUGUUGAUUUAUUCUAUUUGUUGAAAUGUAAUCUGAUUUGCUGUGGUAGCUUAAUGAACUUGUGGAUUUAGUUUCUGUUGUUAAAGCUAUCAUGUGGCUGGAAUCACUUUUAUCCUUGGAGCCCCAGAGCUUAGAGGAAUCAUUUGUGUUA